rnacentral:lncRNA from 1 species
UUGAUAUACUUUGUUUUCUGCACUCCGCUCUCUAUUGUGGAUUCAGGUUUCUGAUAAGAUCAGCCAUAUUGAAGACCAUGUGGCCACACACGGAUUUGGGCUUCUGACUACACAGCUGUGCCUCAGGCUUGUGUGUGCGUGUGGGGGUCUGGUGGGCAUCUGCUCUGGUUGUCGGAAAGCAUCUGAAAAUGCGUUCUCUUGCUUCUGCACUCGUGUCUUGAGAAGUAACUGGUGCCGUGGCUGCACAGGGAAGGCAGUGAACCCUAGCAAGAAUGCUGAGCUGCUGAAGUCAGAAGUCUGUUCCCAAACUGGCCAAUUCACUGGCCUGUGGCCUGGAGUCCUGUAAUCACAGAGGCUGCCAGAGUUCGUCUCCCCACUUGUGGAAUGGGAAUAAAUGUUGUUCUGUUACCGCGCAUGGUGAUUCUUUGCUUGUGUACAUGCUUAUGGGUUACACUGGGGGUUAGAUAUGUGCUCUUGCCCCAAACCCAUUUUUUUUUGUGUGUGUAUUUGAGAAAAAGACUCACUUUGUUGUCUUGGCUGGCCUGGAAUUUAUAGAAAUCCACCUGUCUUGGCUUCCUGAGUGCUUGGUUUUAAGGCAUGUGCCACCAUACACAGGUCCUUUCGCCUGUGUUUUGAGCUAAUGUUUCACUAAGUUGCUUUUGAUCUUGAGAUUCUCUAGCGUGUCAGGCCUACAUCUGCAUGCCUGGGAGCUGUGAGUUCUGAAUGAGUUGGGAGCACUACAAAAGGUCAUUGCACAGACUGCCCAGGGGUAGGCUAGAGCUGUUCGUGUUGCCCUAGGAAAGGUGUCUGGCUAGUACUACAGGCUGCCAAGCUUUUCUGAUCCUCGAGAGUAGAGGCGGCAUUGAUCUGCUGAUUCUACACAAGGUGUGGUAGUGCAUGCAUGCAGCCCAAGGGCUUGGCAGGUUGAAGAACCACGAGUCAGCACUGCAUAGACUGUCUAAAACACAGUUCAUGAAUGUAUUCAUUUUAGUUUUUUGAGAAAGGGUUUCUCUGUGUAGCACUGGUUGUCCUGGAACUUACUCUGUACACCAGGCUCGCCUCAAACUUUACAGAGAUCCACCUGCCUCUGCCUCUGCCUCCCAAGGGCUGCGAUUAAAGGCAUGUGCCACCACCAUUCAGAUCUAAAACACAAAAUUUAAUACUAAUUUUGAAGCUUCUUAAUUUUUAAAAUAAAGGUAUGGGUGAGCUAAAGGUGGUGCAAAGGUCAACCAACUCCAAUUUCAGGAGGAAAACCGCAAAGUCCACUUGAGCAAACAUCUGAUGGCAAUAGCCCCCCAUCCUCCACCCCUCUUAACAACAGCCAGUUAGUCUACAGCAGCAUGGUCAAGGUACAUAUAAACUAAGACAUCUGGCAGAAAAAAGAUAACCCAGCCAUCCUAUUUGUCAGGUGGUUUUGCCCCUGUGUUUGGUUCCUGCAAAUUACAGCAGAAAUGCAGUUUUAAAAAUAUUAAUUUGCUGACCUGUAUGGAAUUCCCCAAGCUUGCUGUAACCACCAUAAAUACCCUGCACCCCUAGACUCGAGGCUCUCACUUCUGACCACUGCACCGGUGAUGGAGUGCUCUUGAGCUCCUAAUAAAAGCCC